AGCACAGGUGAGCUAGUGUCCCAUAAGACUCACUCCCCUUGGCUUUUCCCCAUUCAGUAAGCAGGUAAGAAGCUCAGGCCUGCAGGUGAGCUAGUGUCCCAUAAGACUCACUCCCCUUGGCUUUUUCCCAUUCGGUAAGCAGGUAAGAAGCUAAGGCCUGCAGGUGAGCUAGUGUCCCAUAAGACUCACUCCCCGUGGCUUUUCCCCAUUCGGUAAGCAGGUAAGAAGAUCAGGCCUGCAGAUGAGCUAGUGUCCCAUAAGACUCACUCCCCUUGGCUUUUCCCCAUUCGGUAAGCAGGUAAGAAGCUCAGGCCUGCAGGUGAGCUAGUGUCCCAUAAGACUCACUCCCCUUGGCUUUUCCCCAUUUGG